rnacentral:rRNA from 1 species
UACGUAGGGUGCAAGCGUUGUCCGGAAUUAUUGGGCGUAAAGAGCUCGUAGGCGGUCUGUCGCGUCUGCUGUGAAAACUCAGGGCUUAACCCUGAGCUUGCAGUGGGUACGGGCAGACUAGAGUGCGGUAGGGGAGACUGGAAUUCCUGGUGUAGCGGUGAAAUGCGCAGAUAUCAGGAGGAACACCGGUGGCGAAGGCGGGUCUCUGGGCCGACACUGACGCUGAGGAGCGAAAGCGUGGGGAGCGAACAGG